rnacentral:tRNA from 1 species
AAUAAACAUUUUUUUGCAGACUGUAAAUCUGUUGCCUUCGGCUUCGGUGGUUCGAAUCCACCUUCCCCCA